rnacentral:rRNA from 1 species
GUCGCAAGACCAAAGUGGGGGACCUUCGGGCCUCAUGCCAUCAGAUGUGCCCAGAUGGGAUUAGCUAGUAGGUGGGGUAACGGCUCACCUAGGCGACGAUCCCUAGCUGGUCUGAGAGGAUGACCAGCCACACUGGAACUGAGACACGGUCCAGACUCCUACGGGAGGCAGCAGUGGGGAAUAUUGCACAAUGGGCGCAAGCCUGAUGCAGCCAUGCCGCGUGUGUGAAGAAGGCCUUCGGGUUGUAAAGCACUUUCAGCGGGGAGGAAGGCGUUGAGGUUAAUAACCUUGUCGAUUGACGUUACCCGCAGAAGAAGCACCGGCUAACUCCGUGCCAGCAGCCGCGGUAAUACGGAGGGUGCAAGCGUUAAUCGGAAUUACUGGGCGUAAAGCGCACGCAGGCGGUCUGUCAAGUCGGAUGUGAAAUCCCCGGGCUCAACCUGGGAACUGCAUUCGAAACUGGCAGGCUAGAGUCUUGUAGAGGGGGGUAGAAUUCCAGGUGUAGCGGUGAAAUGCGUAGAGAUCUGGAGGAAUACCGGUGGCGAAGGCGGCCCCCUGGACAAAGACUGACGCUCAGGUGCGAAAGCGUGGGGAGCAAACAGGAUUAGAUACCCUGGUAGUCCACGCCGUAAACGAUGUCGAUUUGGAGGUUGUGCCCUUGAGGCGUGGCUUCCGGAGCUAACGCGUUAAAUCGACCGCCUGGGGAGUACGGCCGCAAGGUUAAAACUCAAAUGAAUUGACGGGGGCCCGCACAAGCGGUGGAGCAUGUGGUUUAAUUCGAUGCAACGCGAAGAACCUUACCUGGUCUUGACAUCCACAGAACUUUCCAGAGAUGGAUUGGUGCCUUCGGGAACUGUGAGACAGGUGCUGCAUGGCUGUCGUCAGCUCGUGUUGUGAAAUGUUGGGUUAAGUCCCGCAACGAGCGCAACCCUUAUCCUUUGUUGCCAGCGGUUCGGCCGGGAACUCAAAGGAGACUGCCAGUGAUAAACUGGAGGAAGGUGGGGAUGACGUCAAGUCAUCAUGGCCCUUACGACCAGGGCUACACACGUGCUACAAUGGCAUAUACAAAGAGAAGCGACCUCGCGAGAGCAAGCGGACCUCAUAAAGUAUGUCGUAGUCCGGAUUGGAGUCUGCAACUCGACUCCAUGAAGUCGGAAUCGCUAGUAAUCGUAGAUCAGAAUGCUACGGUGAAUACGUUCCCGGGCCUUGUACACACCGCCCGUCACACCAUGGGAGUGGGUUGCAAAAGAAGUAGGUAGCUUAACCUUCGGGAGGGCGCUUACCACUUUGUGAUUCAUGACUGGGGUGAAGUCGUAACAAGGUAACCGUAGGGGAACCUGCGGUUGGAUCACCU